AAGUCGUAACAAGGUUUCCGUAGGUGAACCUGCGGAAGGAUCAUUCAUAACGAGUGUUUAUGGCACUCUAAAAAUCCAUACCCACCUUGUGUGCAUCGUUAAGAGUCUUUUGUCUCUCUUUUAAGAGGGACAUGAGGUUUCUUUUAAUUAAUCUACCUUUAACUAGUUUGUCUGAAUCAUUGUAUCAUGAAUAAACAUAAUUCAAAAUACAACUUUCAACAACGGAUCUCUUGGCUCUC
rnacentral:misc_RNA from 1 species